CCUACGGGAGGCAGCAGUGAGGAAUAUUGGUCAAUGGGCGCGAGCCUGAACCAGCCAAGUAGCGUGAAGGAUGACUGCCCUACGGGUUGUAAACUUCUUUUAUACGGGAAUAAACUGAGGCACGUGUGCCUUUUUGUAUGUAUUUUAUGAAUAAGGAUCGGCUAACUCCGUGCCAGCAGCCGCGGUAAUACGGAGGAUUCAAGCGUUAUCCGGAUUUAUUGGGUUUAAAGGGUGCGUAGGUGGUUUGUUAAGUCAGAUGUGAAGUUCUGCGGCUCAACCGUGGAAUUGCAGUUGAUACUGGCAGUCUUGAGUGUAGUUGCGGUAGGCGGAAUUCGUGGUGUAGCGGUGAAAUGCUUAGAUAUCAUGAAGAACACCGAUUGCGAAGGCAGCUUACUAAGCUGCUACUGACGUUGAGGCUCGAAAGUGUGGGUAUCAAACAGGAUUAGAUACCCGGGUAGUC
rnacentral:rRNA from 1 species